UACGUAGGGUGCAAGCGUUGUCCGGAAUUAUUGGGCGUAAAGAGCUCGUAGGCGGUCUGUCGCGUCGGCUGUGAAAACUCGGGGCUCAACUCCGAGCUUGCAGUCGAUACGGGCAGGCUAGAGUUCGGCAGGGGGAGACUGGAAUUCCUGGUGUAGCGGUGAAAUGCGCAGAUAUCAGGAGGAACACCGGUGGCGAAGGCGGGUCUCUGGGCCACUACUGACGCUGAGAAGCGAAAGCAUGGGGAGCGAACAGG
rnacentral:rRNA from 1 species